GACGAACGCUGGCGGCGUGCUUAACACAUGCAAGUCGAACGGAAAGGCCCUGCUUUUGUGGGGUGCUCGAGUGGCAAACGGGUGAGUAACACGUGAGUAACCUGCCCGUGACUUUGGUAUAACUUCAGGAAACUGGGGCUAAUACCGGAUAGGAUCUCCUGCUGCAUGGUGUGGGUUGGAAAGUUUCGGCGGGUGGGGAUGGACUCGCGGCUUAUCAGCUUGUUGGUGGGGUAGUGGCUUACCAAGGCUUUGACGGGUAGCCGGCCUGAGAGGGUGACCGGCCACAUUGGGACUGAGAUACGGCCCAGACUCCUACGGGAGGCAGCAGUGGGGAAUAUUGCACAAUGGGCGGAAGCCUGAUGCAGCAACGCCGCGUGCGGGAUGACGGCCUUCGGGUUGUAAACCGCUUUCGCCUGUGACGAAGCGUGAGUGACGGUAAUGGGUAAAGAAGCACCGGCUAACUACGUG
rnacentral:rRNA from 1 species